AUUCCAGCUCCAAUAGUGUAUAUUAAAGUUGUUGCAGUUAAAAAGCUCGUAGUUGGAUUUCUGGACUGGUCGGCCGGUCCGCGACAUGUUCGUGUGUACCUGGUGUGAUUAGUCCAUCCUUGAUGGGAACUAUGGUCACCGUUAAUUCGGUGCUGUAGGGAACAUCAUCGUUUACUGUGAGAAAAAUAGAGUGUUUAAAGCAGGCGUUUGCUCUGAAUACGUUAGCAUGGGAUAAUAAGAUAGGACUCUGGUGCUAUUUUGUUGGUUGCAGCCCAAGGUAAUGAUUAAUAGGGAUAGUCGGGGGCAUUCGUAUUCAAACGACAGAGGUGAAAUUCUUGGACCGUUUGAAGACGAACUAAGGCGAAAGCAUUUGCCAAGAAUGUUUUCAUCA
rnacentral:rRNA from 1 species